rnacentral:rRNA from 1 species
AACGAACGCUGGCGGCAUGCCUAACACAUGCAAGUCGAACGAGACCUUCGGGUCUAGUGGCGCACGGGUGCGUAACGCGUGGGAACCUGCCCUUAGGUUCGGAAUAACUCCCCGAAAGGGGUGCUAAUACCGGAUAAUGUCUUCGGACCAAAGAUUUAUCGCCUUUGGAUGGGCCCGAGUCGGAUUAGCUAGUUGGGAGGGUAAAAGCCUACCAAGGCGACGAUCCAUAGCUGGUCUGAGAGGAUGAUCAGCCACACUGGGACUGAGACGCGGCCCAGAAUCCUACGGGAGGCAGGAGUGGGGAAUAUUGGAAAAUGGGGGAAAGCAUGAUCCAGCAAUGCCGGGUGAGUGAUGAAGGCCUUAGGGUUGUAAAGCUCUUUUACCCGGGAUGAUAAUGACAGUACCGGGAGAAUAAGCUCCGGCUAACUCCGUG